AAACAGAGCUACUGGUGUCCAGAAGAUCUGGAGCACCAAGAGCCAAAUGGUAAACCUGGGCCUCUCGGGGGCACCCAGGUGGCUUAGUUGAUUAAGCCUCUGCCUCCAGCUCCGGUCGUGAUCCCAGGGUGUUGGGAUCAAGCCCCGCGUGGGGCUCCCUGCUCGGUGGGGAGUCUGCUUCUCCCCCUGCCUGCCCCUGCCUCCCGCUUGUGCUCUCUCUCUCUCAAAUCAAUAAAUACAAUCUUAAACCAAAAACCCAAAACGUGUCACCCAGCUGGUAAACAGACUGCAAGGUCACGAGACAUGCCUAGUGUUGUGAGAAAAAAAAAAAAAAACGUGGUUCUUCUAUAGAGCUUCCAUAUCAGUAGUCGCUGGGAUUCGUGCAACAGCUAGGAGCCCUUCCUGCGUGUGAGAACGUGAUGACGGAGAAUGACUCAUGCCAGUUUAUAACAGGCUGGUGGGAAGCAGACAAGCGCACACUCGCUACGGCCGGUAACGAGUCAAUCAUGUUCCCUAUCAAACUUUGGGUCGUGGAGCUCAUGGUGGAAGCUGUAGCUACCUUUGUCCUGCAUAAGAUAAGAAGAAAAGUCUUGAUAAAUAUGCCAUAUAGUUUUGGAGACAGGAUGUUUUCUUAACCGAAUGAUUUAACUACUCGUCUACCUGUGUAAUCUGGACCUUCUGCAAGAAUUCUUAUCAUUGGAAAACUUGUUUCUGCUGUACACAAUACGAUUGACGGAAAAAAAAUUUUUACGGAAAAUUCGUGAUAAAUAUGCCAUAUUGUUUUGGACACAAGAUGUUUUCUAAACGAAUCAUUGAAAAUCAUGAAAAACUAAUGAUGCACUAUAUGAAGAAUUUAUAUAAACCUAUGGGUUUUUACCUUCAUCAAAUCUUUCUCCUCCCCCGCUCAGAGCACAUUUCAGGUUCCUCCUGAAUCUGUGCCUCCCAGAUUUCAAAAAAAAAGUUUUGUUUUGCUUUGCAGCCUCAGUUCUUUCUUUUUUGACACACAGGAGCAAAUAAACUUCGUAUCAACAAAGAGAG
rnacentral:lncRNA from 1 species